GGGAUUGUGGCUCAGUGGUAGAUAGAGCACUCACCUAGCACGUGAGAGGCCCUGGGUUCGAUCCUCAGCACCA
rnacentral:tRNA from 1 species